CUACGGGUGGCAGCAGUGGGGAAUCUUAGACAAUGGGCGCAAGCCUGAUCUAGCCAUGCCGCGUGAGUGACGAAGGCCUUAGGGUCGUAAAGCUCUUUCGCUGGGGAAGAUAAUGACGGUACCCAGUAAAGAAACCCCGGCUAACUCCGUGCCAGCAGCCGCGGUAAUACGGAGGGGGUUAGCGUUGUUCGGAAUUACUGGGCGUAAAGCGCGCGUAGGCGGAUCAGAAAGUUGGGGGUGAGAUCCCGGGGCUCAACCCCGGAACUGCCUUCAAAACUCCUGGUCUUGAGUUCGAGAGAGGUGAGUGGAAUUCCGAGUGUAGAGGUGAAAUUCGUAGAUAUUCGGAGGAACACCAGUGGCGAAGGCGGCUCACUGGCUCGAUACUGACGCUGAGGUGCGAAAGCGUGGGGAGCAAACAGGAUUAGAUACCCGCGUAGUC
rnacentral:rRNA from 1 species